GGCGCACGGGUGAGUAACACGUGGGAACAUACCUCAUAGUACGGAAUAACUGCGGGAAGCUGUAGCUAAUACCGUAUAUUCCAGAAAUGGGAAAGAUUUAUCGCUAUGAGAUUGGCCCGCGCAAGAUUAGCUUGUUGGUAAGGUAACGGCUUACCAAGGCUCCGAUCUUUAGCUGGUUUGAGAGGAUGAUCAGCCACACUGGGACUGAGACACGGCCCAGACUCCUACGGGAGGCAGCAGUAGGGAAUAUUGGACAAUGGGGGAAACCCUGAUCCAGCAAUGCAGCGUGAGUGACGAAGGCCUUAGGGUUGUAAAACUCUUUCAUCGGUGAGGAUAAUGACAGUAGCCGAAGAAGAAGGACCGGCUAAUUCCGUGCCAGCAGCCGCGGUAAUACGGAAGGUCCUAGCGUUGUUCGGAAUUACUGGGCGUAAAGCGCAUGUAGGCGGAACAAAAAGUUAGAAGUGAAAUCCCUGGGCUCAACCUAGGAAUUGCUUUUAAAACUUUUGUUCUGGAAUUCAGGAGAGGAAAAUGGAAUUUCCAGUGUAGAGGUGAAAUUCGUAGAUAUUGGAAGGAACACCAGUGGCGAAAGCGAUUUUCUGGACUGAUAUUGACGCUGAGAUGCGAAGGCAUGGGUAGCAAACGGGAUUAGAUACCCCGGUAGUCCAUGCAGUAAACGAUGGGUGCUAGUCGUCGGACUUUUGUUCGGUGUCGUAGCUAACGCGUUAAGC
rnacentral:rRNA from 1 species